GGGGGGCAGAUGCGAGAUAGAAAGGCUUAAAAUACAGAGUACCCGUGUAUGAAAUUCUCAAAUAGAAAACAUAGUUAUCCCGAAAUAAAAGAAUUAUUUAAAAAAAAAAAAAAACCUAAGCUCAGAGCUGCAGGUAUAGCUCCGUGGUGAAUUUGCACGUAAAUAUACUCCCUGGAUUUGCUUCUCAGCCCCUUGGAGGGGUUGUGAAGGGAGGGGGACCUUGUAAGCAAUGUGAGCUCAAGGCAAGCCAAAUAAACUGUAAAGGAACUGAUGCCACAUGAUAGCAUUGAUGAGAACCUUAAAGCACUCAAAGCAAUAUGAAAUGUUGAUGCAUAGCAUGUAUUUAAUUAAGGUGUAACAACAUUCAAAAGAAUGAUGUUUUAUUUAAAGUAGAAAGUGAAAAAGAAUAUACAUUCAAUUAAAUUGAAUAUAUCAAACUUAUUUUUCUUUUUUCUUGGAUGUUUUCUUUAUUUACAUUUCAAAUGUUAUCCCCUUUCCCAAUUUUCCACCCCCUCCCAGAAACCCCCUAUCCCAUUCCCCCCCCCCCUGCUUCUAUGAGGGUGUUCACCCACCCACCUACUCCUGCCUCCCUGCCCUCAAUUCCCCUAGCCAUCUAUCGAGCCUUCAUAUGACCAAGGACCUCUCCUCCCAUUGAUGCCUGACAAGGCCGUCCUCUGCUACAUAUACAGCUGGAGCCAUGUAUACUCCUAGGUAUGUGGAUGUGCAUACAAGUUUCCUCUGCGUCCAGAAGAGUUGGAGUUACAGGGAGCUGUAGGUGCCCAAUAUGAGUUCUGUGAACUGAACUUGGUUCCUCGGAGAAGACAUCCUGUGAUUUUUAACUAGUCACCAUCAAAGCCCUCCAGCAUCCUGCAACAUUGAAAAUUAAAGUGUCUACAGUUUGGGUGAUCUGUCCCUCUGGUCGCUGUUCUCCAUGAUCGUUGCCAACUGUUGACUGUGUUGUAGAACAACUCACCCCAGUGCUUAGUGGCUUAAAAUCAAAGCCAUUUAUUAUAAUUUUUUUCAAGUUGACAGUUCCUUGGGUGAUUCUGCAGAUGUGUUGGCCAUGAUUAAUGUCUGCUAGGCUUAUCCAGCUGACUACAGCAGUCACCAUAUGCUUGGUGAGACCUUCCGUAAACACUUCACGAUAAGAGGAGGAAGAUGAAAGACUCCAGAGGUUCAGGAUUGCUCCAAAGUUUCCUGAUAAGGGGAGUAAAGGCAAAUUGCAGAGUGACGACAGACAUUGAUCACCAAACAGAGAGGUUGAGAAUCUUCAGGCAGUGAUGGAAAAGGACGGGAGAAGACACAGGAGGCCUGCCCGGGAGCCAGGAACACAAGCCUGGUCAACAGGCUGUCUGACAAAUAUUCCCAGAGUAAAACUUGGUAGACUGGCUACUUGCUUCCUGUAAAUCUUUGUAGAUAGAGUUAGUUUUCUUUUGGAAAGAAUAGUCUUGGCUGCGAAGUUAAGGAAAGGCCAGCACUUAGAAAAUACUCAGUUAUGCAAUUAUGUUGUCAUGAUUCAUUUUCAUGACAUAUACCAUAUACUCUGUCAAGGCUGGAGAUGUAGUUCAGUUGGUCGAAUACUUGCCCAGCUUGCAAGAAGCUCUGGUUCGAUCUGUAUAGCACUGUCUAAACUGCACACAGUGGUGCAUCCCUGUUUAGCAUCCGCACUCAGGAGAGGGAAGCAGGAAGAUCAGAAGUUUAAAAUCAUCUUCUACUACAUUACGAGUUCUAGGCCAGCCUGGGCGACAUGAAACUCUCUCUCUCAAACACACAAAACAAAACA
rnacentral:lncRNA from 1 species